GGAAGGUGCUGCUGUGUGGACGGCGACUGGUUUGGAGUACCAGAGUGCAGUAGAGAUACUGUAGAAGUUCGACUCUUCCACCUUCCU
rnacentral:tRNA from 2 species